rnacentral:lncRNA from 1 species
AAAGAGUAAGAAGCGCAGGAUCAUAGUAGGCAUGGUUAUUAACAAAGCAGAAACAACAUGAUUUAUUUAACCAUAAAUAGGAAUUUUCACCACAACAGCUAUAUAAUUUCUCCAACAGCAUACAUAUAGCAAAGCUUUCACACCUAUGAGACCUGGGACCACACUGUAAAACCUGACCAAGUACUGUGCUACCGGAAAAACAAAAUCCCUAUCGUUGUCUCACUUUUCAAACUUGUAAGAUUGCUAACCUUUCGUGUUAUUCCUCUGGUUGGAUGCUAGUCAAAUCUUCGAAUGAAAUUUUCCGCUAAGCUGAAAAACAACAGAAAUAAUAUAUAUAAUAGAAUGUAGAGUUCUAUAAUACCUGAAUCAACCUAGUGUGUGCUUGAAAGGGGGUACAUUUGAAAAAUAAGGAAGCAACAACCAAGUGUCAAACUACAAUCAAUUUAUCUCCAGAUGAAUAAAUUAGUGAGCUCGGAUUCGUACAAAAAGUUGGUUGGCUAUGUUCUGUAAGCUGUUUUCUGCCAAGAAAAAGUGUGAGAAUUUCAGUAUUGUUUCAAAACUGUAAUUGAUCAGCGGCAAGUUCACUGCAUAAUUAGGAUGCAGAGGUGAUGCUGAUAAGUGCAUGUCCGUACUGAUUGUACCUGGCUAUAGUACGUUGGUCCCAUAAUACCAAUCAUGGGUGACAUUGGAUUCUGACUAAUUGCUGAAGUUUGCCUGGAAGUGUAAUGGAGUACUUUACCCAAUUGAUACAACAUUUGGUUAAGCCUAUCAGUAUGAAAAUUAAUAGUGCAUACCAAGCAGCAGUUCUAAAUUCAGCAAUCAAAGAAAGUGUUUAGACAUGCUAAAUUAAGCCUGCGCACUUUAUUUCUUAGCGUACGCGCUAAUUAGACCAAAGCGCGCGCGUCGUGCAAAAUCCACCGUAACGAUAACUGGUCCACGUGCUUCGCCAGGCCCUCGCUCCUCUGCGGAAAAAUAAUAGUAACAUGUUACGGUCAGCACACACUAAUUAACAUAGCGCGACCAUGCAUGGGGACAUCGCCCCAGCCCAACUGUUAGUUCCUAUCAUCAGUAAUUGGGCAUGUAGGAAGUAGUAGUAUGGUUUAGUUUAGCCCUUGUGUAGUAGCAUGAUUCAGUUUAGCCCUUGCCUAUAGACCUAAAUCAAAUAUGGAUCAGACACGAUAAAAAUGUAAACUCGAUCAAAGGGUCUAUCGAAUUUUCAGAGAUGUAUUUUAUCAGACAACAAACAAGCAGUCUGCAAUAACUUUGCUAAUCAUGAAAAUAAGAAAUCAUAUAUAUGUUGUGAUGUUGGAUUUUCAAUCUCUUCUUCAUGGAGUUUCCUUUUGCAUCAAGGUUUCCGCAUGCCACGGUAGUAAAAUCAGGUCAGGGCAAAUUCUAAAUAUAAGAAACAGCAGAAUAUCCAGUGCUACUGUACUAUUGACAAAACCAUCAAAAUUUCAUAAGCCAGUUCAUUCAAAGAUUACCAAUUUAGGCUGCUUGCAACCUCGAAGACGAGGAGAACGUGACCCUGUCCCGUGUGCGUGCGGGAUCGACGGCCCAAUCACAGAUUUCUCAUCCCCAAAUUAGUACCA